CAAGAACCUCUGGACCCAAAUCCCCUUUAGCUGAAGCACCUGGGUCUGCAACAACAGCUUCACCUGACAGCCCUAACAGAUUAGCAUACACCCCUGUAUUUGAACUUGCUCUUCCAUCAGAGAUGCAAAAGUGCAUGGAAGCAGCAGUGAAUUCCAGCCCACAGCGCUCUGAUGGGACACAUGGAUGAAAAGCAUCACCACCGAGGACGCAAGCACUGCUAGGAAGUCUUCUUCAGAGAAGUCCCCAGAACUGUUGAACCCUUCCCAGAGCACAGCCACUCACACCAAAUCUUUAGCAUCGCCCAACAAAAAGCUGUGCUGCAUGGAAUAGGG